rnacentral:rRNA from 1 species
UUGGCUUAGAAGCAGCCAUCAUUUAAAGAAAGCGUAAUAGCUCACUGGUCGAGUCGGCCUGCGCGGAAGAUGUAACGGGGCUAAACCAUGCACCGAAGCUGCGGCAGCGACGCUUAUGCGUUGUUGGGUAGGGGAGCGUUCUGUAAGCCGUCGAAGGUGUGCUGUGAGGCAUGCUGGAGGUAUCAGAAGUGCGAAUGCUGACAUAAGUAACGAUAAAGCGGGUGAAAAGCCCGCUCGCCGGAAGACCAAGGGUUCCUGUCCAA